UACAGGGGGUGCAAGCGUUGCUCGGAAUCAUUGGGCGUAAAGCGCACGUAGGCGGUCUGUUAUGUCGGAUGUGAAAGUCCGGGGCUCAACUCCGGAUCUGCGGUGGGUACGGGCAGACUAGAGUGAUGUAGGGGAGACUGGAAUUCCUGGUGUAGCGGUGAAAUGCGCAGAUAUCAGGAGGAACACCGAUGGCGAAGGCAGGUCUCUGGGCAUUAACUGACGCUGAGGAGCGAAAGCAUGGGGAGCGAACAGG
rnacentral:rRNA from 1 species